GAAUCUUCCGCAAUGGACGAAAGUCUGACGGAGCAACGCCGCGUGAGUGAUGAAGGUUUUCGGAUCGUAAAGCUCUGUUGCCAGGGAAGAACGUCCGUUAGAGUAACUGCUAACGGAGUGACGGUACCUGAGAAGAAAGCCCCGGCUAACUACGUGCCAGCAGCCGCGGUAAUACGUAGGGGGCGAGCGUUGUCCGGAAUUAUUGGGCGUAAAGCGCGCGCAGGCGGCUGUUUAAGUCUGGUGUUUAAUCCUGGGGCUCAACCCCGGGUCGCACUGGAAACUGGACAGCUUGAGUUCAGAAGAGGAGAGUGGAAUUCCACGUGUAGCGGUGAAAUGCGUAGAGAUGUGGAGGAACACCAGUGGCGAAGGCGACUCUCUGGGCUGUAACUGACGCUGAGGCGCGAAAGCGUGGGGAGCAAA
rnacentral:rRNA from 1 species